GCGGAAGUAGUUCAGUGGUAGAACAUCACCUUGCCAUGGUGGGGGUCGCGGGUUCGAAUCCCGUCUUCCGCUC
rnacentral:tRNA from 3 species